rnacentral:tRNA from 1 species
GACCUCGUGGCGCAACGGUAGCGUGUCUGACUCCAGAUCAGAAGGUUGCGUGUUCAAAUCUUUUAUGCUU